rnacentral:rRNA from 1 species
AUUGAACGCUGGCGGCAGGCCUAACACAUGCAAGUCGAACGAGUGGCGGACGGGUGAGUAAUGUCUGGGAAACUGCCUGAUGGAUGGGGAUAACUACUGGAAACGGUAGCUAAUACCGCAUACCAUCAGAUGUUCCCAGAUGGGAUUAGCUAGUGUGUGGGGUAACGGCUCACCAAGGCGACGAUCCCUAGCUGGUCUGAGAGGCUGACCAGCCACACUGGAACGUAGACACGGUCCAGACUCCUACGGGAGGAAGCAGUGGGGAAUAUUGCACAAUGGGCGCAAGCCUGAUGCAGCCAUGCCGCGUGUAUGAAGAAGGCCUUCGGGUUGUAAAGUACGUUCAGCGGGGAGGCGUUACCCGCAGAAGAAGCACCGGCUAACUCCGUGCCAGCAGCCGCGGUAAUAC